rnacentral:rRNA from 1 species
GAUGAACGCUGGCGGCGUGCCUAAUACAUGCAAGUCGAGCGAACAGACGAGGAGCUUGCUCCUCUGACGUUAGCGGCGGACGGGUGAGUAACACGUGGAUAACCUACCUAUAAGACUGGGAUAACUUCGGGAAACCGGAGCUAAUACCGGAUAAUAUAUUGAAUCGCAUGGUUCAAUAGUGAAAGACGGUUUUGCUGUCACUUAUAGAUGGAUCCGCGCCGCAUUAGCUAGUUGGUAAGGUAACGGCUUACCAAGGCAACGAUGCGUAGCCGACCUGAGAGGGUGAUCGGCCACACUGGAACUGAGACACGGUCCAGACUCCUACGGGAGGCAGCAGUAGGGAAUCUUCCGCAAUGGGCGAAAGCCUGACGGAGCAACGCCGCGUGAGUGAUGAAGGUCUUCGGAUCGUAAAACUCUGUUAUUAGGGAAGAACAAAUGUGUAAGUAACUAUGCACGUCUUGACGGUACCUAAUCAGAAAGCCACAGCUAACUACGUG